rnacentral:piRNA from 1 species
UCUAUACCGCUUCGACUGGAAGAUCC